GUUUAGAAAAAAGCUUCAAGUUAUUAGCCAAUCUGGUUUUUGUUUAGAUUGUGAGGUCUAGCUCCAACCAAUGGAGAUCAGACACAGCAGUAAGGACAAUCCCAAAUGCGUAAGGG